rnacentral:rRNA from 1 species
UACGUAGGUGACAAGCGUUGUCCGGAUUUACUGGGCGUAAAGAGCGCGUAGGCUGCGGGGCAAGUCGGGUGUGAAAUCUCAGAGCUCAACUCUGAAACUGCACUCGAUACUGCUUUGCUUGAGGACUGGAGAGGAGAUUGGAAUUCACGGUGUAGCAGUGAAAUGCGUAGAUAUCGUGAGGAAGACCAGUGGCGAAGGCGGAUCUCUGGACAGUUCCUGACGCUGAGGCGCGAAGGCCAGGGGAGCAAACGGG